GAAAGUGAUUCUUGGGACGGCGUUGGUUUACAUGUAUGCAAAGAAUGGGGAGAUUGUUAUGGCUCGGAAGUUGUUUGAUGAAAUGACUGAGAGAAAUGUUGUUACUUGGAAUGUGAUGAUCUCUGGCUUGGCUACUCAUGGACAUGUUGAAGAUGCUCUUGGUCUCUUUGAGAAGCUGAAGGAGGAGCAAGCUGUCGUCCCUAACAAUGUCACUUUCUUAGGGGUUUUGUCGGCUUGUUGUCAUGCUGGCUUGGUUGAUGUUGGUCGUGAGAUCUUUUAUUCGAUGAAAAAUGUGUAUGGGGUUGACGCAAAGAUUGAACAUUAUGGGUGCAUGGUGGAUCUUCUUGGAAAAGAGGGUAAGUUGAUAGAGGCAGAGGAACUGGUAAAAGGAAUGCCUUGGAAGCCUGAUAUUGUUAUUUUAGGAGCUUUGUUGGCAGCUUGCAAAAAUAAUGGAAAUACCAAGGUUGCUAAAAGAGUCGUAAAAGAAAUUCUUGCUCUGGAACCUCAUAAUCAUGGUGUUCAUGUUGCUAUGUCGAAUAUAUAUGCAGAGGCUGGACAAUGGAAUGAAGUUUUGAGACUGAGGAAGGUUAUGAAAGAAGAAAGACUAAAGAAAACUCCAGGGUGGAGCCUUGUUGCUACGUAAUUGAGCAUUGUCCAAAAGAUUUCGUUUUUUCAAUUGUCAUAAUUAACCAAAGGAGUAGACUUAAGUUGCUCAAAUGUGCCUGAUUAAAUCCUAAAUCACUUCUGUUUGAACUGUUUCUGCUACUUGGAAGACCAAAAUUAGUUGAGGUGGUUGCCGAAAAGGUGGUGUUGCAGUACUACUUAUUAAUGUCUGAUUGUCGCAUCCUAGUCGCAAGAACAUAAGCACUGCUUGAGGUUCACUUCAAAGGAGUUUCUUCUUGAAAAGUGUCAUUCAAAAUGGAAUUGCCAAUAUUAAAAUUUUGGACAGAGUUAUGCUUUGGUAUGGCUAAUGUCAACAUUACUGAACGAUUGUGGGAUUCAGAUAACGUAGAAGCUUUUCAGACAAACAAGGAACUCCUAUGCUCCUAUUAGGAGAAAGAUGCAUGACAUGAACACUUAAACAGGCCUUGAUCAUGUCCAAGGUGUGUUAAUGAAUGCAGAGGGUGAACAGUGUGGUAACAGCUAUAUCAUAAAACUUGGUAUUUUCAAGAACUAUUAAGAUGAAAGAUCACUCGAGUGUUGGUCUAGUGUGUUUCUCGAUAAAAUUUCAUCUCCCUAGAGGAAAACAGGGAUGAACUUGGUCCUGGUGUAUCUACCCCUCCUGGUUUGUGUCCAGUCUAGUAAAGAUCUAUGAGACAUUAGAAUAGAAGCAACCGUGUUAAACACUGAAGUAGCUGGCUCAUAUAAUCACCCAGAGCUACUCUUCUAAUGUGAACUGAUGCAGGCUGCGGCUCUCUAUUUAUUGGCUUACAAGCAAAACAUUAACUAAAGGAGGUUGCAGUUGUGGCCUAACAUAUUCAAUGGUUGAGACGCCACUGACGGACGAGAAUGGAAAAAAUGGACCAUAAAGCUAUGCAGAUGAGCAUGUAAGGAACCGGACAGAGACAGGGGAUGCAAACCAUGUGAUUUGUGGUUAUAGUCUAUAGGUGCUAACUUCUCAUAACAAUUUAAGGGGAAAAAAAGGAAAGAAAUUGCGCUGAUUCUUGUAGGAAGGAGGAAAUUAUAAUAUUCAAGAUUACGCAUCUGGUAACCUGCAAAGUUGCAGGAAGUGAUUCCUAACCGUACCAUUCAGCAGCCCAACAGUAAAAAUAGUCUUCCGACAUUGACAAGACAGAUAGAAAAAGCAAAGAUUCAGUUUGGAAGGGUGAGAGACAUGACUGGCGUGUUUAAAUGUUAAUCUUUCUGGAACUGUAGAAGCUGCGAAUGUGAGACACUGAAUCAACUUGGGGGUCUGACUCAUCAUCAGCAGAAGGUUCAUUUGCAAGGAAAGCAUGAGGAGCUAUUGGUUCAUUUGCGAAAAAUGCAGGAGAUGGGUUUGGGGCUAUUACUCUGUUUGCAUGCAAAUCAGGAGAUGGGACUAUAGGCUCACUUGCCAGCACAAUCUUUUGCGAGGGAAGGAGAUUGAGUUGGGGUUAUUGCCUAAAUUUCAGGCAAAUCAUGAGAUGGUGUUAUAGGUUCAGAACUUGCAGGAAAAGCUUGAGAUGGAGUUGGGGCUAUUGGUUUGUUUUCUUGGAAUGCAUGAGAUGGAGAUAUUGGCUCACUUGCUAAUUCAAUGGCUGACACACCACUCAGGAAAAUGACUAGGGGCAAAAGAAAAAGCAAAGCCAUGGUAGAAAAAGAAGGGGGAAUACAAAAAAAUACAAAGCCUUGUGAAUUUGUGGCUUCUUUGUGGCCGUGGCCUGUAGGAUGCUCAUCACACCCUUCAGAGGAAUCUAUUCAUAAGUUAACGCUCACUGCCCAUGUAUGCAGUGAUGUUACAUGUGACCAAAGGAUUUUCUUUUCUUGGGGUGGUCAUUUUCCGAAUCCUGGCAUCCUGGCAAGUGGCAAUGGUGCGGGACUGCGGGUUGUUUGUACAUCAAACUGCUCUCAAUCUUUUUUUUUUUUU